rnacentral:rRNA from 1 species
AGUGAACGCUGGCGGUAGGCUUAACACAUGCAAGUCGAACGGCAGCACAGUAAGAGCUUGCUCUUACGGGUGGCGAGUGGCGGACGGGUGAGGAAUACAUCGGACUCUACGUUUUCGUGGGGGAUAACGUAGGGAAACUUACGCAAAUACCGCAUACGACCUACGGGUGAAAGCAGGGGAUCUUCGGACCUUGCGCGAUUGAAUGAGCCGAUGUCGGAUUAGCUAGUUGGCGGGGUAAAGGCCCACCAAGGCGACGAUCCGUAGCUGGUCUGAGAGGAUGAUCAGCCACACUGGAACUGAGACACGGUCCAGACUCCUACGGGAGGCAGCAGUGGGGAAUAUUGGACAAAGGGCGCAAGCCUGAUCCAGCCAUACCGCGUGUGUGAAGAAGGCCUUCGGGUUGUAAAGCACUUUUGUUGGGAAAGAAAAGCAGCAGGUUAAUACCCCGCUGUUCUGACGGUACCCAAAGAAUAAGCACCGGCUAACUUCGUG